CUCGCGAGAGUUAGCGGCCUCCGGUGUGGGAUGGCCGCGGAGCCGGGCGGAGCUGGCUUGCGGCUCCCGGGGCCGGCUCUCCGGCCGGAGACAUGGCCCGGGGGCCCGGCCCGCUAGGCAGGCCUCGCCCCGAUACGGUCGCCAUGCCCAAGAGAGGAAAGCGACUCAAGUUCCGGGCCCACGACGCCUGCUCCGGCCGAGUGACCGUGGCGGAUUACGCCAACUCGGAUCCGGCGGUCGUGAGGUCUGGACGAGUCAAGAAAGCCGUAGCCAACGCUGUUCAGCAGGAAGUAAAAUCUCUUUGUGGCUUGGAAGCCUCUCAGGUUCCUGCAGAGGAAGCUCUUUCUGGGGCUGGUGAGCCCUGUGACAUCAUCGACAGCAGUGAUGAGAUGGAUGCCCAGGAGGAAAGCAUCCAUGAGAGAACUGUCUCCAGAAAAAAGAAAAGCAAGAGACACAAAGAAGAACUGGACGGGGCUGGAGGAGAAGAGUAUCCCAUGGAUAUUUGGCUAUUGCUGGCCUCCUAUAUCCGUCCUGAGGACAUUGUGAAUUUUUCCCUGAUUUGUAAGAAUGCCUGGACUGUCACUUGCACUGCUGCCUUUUGGACCAGGUUGUACCGAAGGUGCGACCACAGAGAGCUCACUCUUUUAUCUGUGUGGCUGAUUUCAUUACUGUUUGUGAUUUGGAGCUACUCACUGGAUGGUGACCUCUUUUCACUUUCUCUACUCCAUGUCUGGGCAUGACCCAGCUUUGGACUCCUUGAGCCCCUCUCUAAUUUAAAUUUGAUAUUAUUAAUUAUCCAGGCACUACACGCUGGAUGCUUCCCUGCCUUUGCGUCUGCGACCAGAGUCAAUGGAGAAGCUGCGCUGUCUCCGGGCUUGUGUGAUCCGAUCUCUGUACCAUAUGUAUGAGCCAUUUGCUGCUCGAAUCUCCAAGAAUCCAGCCAUUCCAGAAAGCACCCCCAGCACAUUAAAGAAUUCCAAAUAGCAUAGCUUGUGUGGGACACUGGAGCCGUUGUGAUGGCAGCAGAAGUGUUUUCCCCUUAAAGCCAAGCCCAUUAAUUUUGAUGGAACAGCAGGACGUACAGGGCAUGUCUGAAGGGCAGGACAGCUGGCACGGCGGACGACCCACCCCUUAUCCCCUGGGAGUGCUUACUUUUCUGGUGCAGAAAGAUUGUUGGGAACAGACAGGAACCAAUGUGGGAAUUCAACUUCAAGUUCAAAAAACAGUCCCCUAGGUUAAAGAGCAAGUGUACAGGAGGAUUGCAGCCUCCCGUUCAGUACGAAGAUGUUCAUACCAAUCCAGACCAGGACUGCUGCCUACUGCAGGUCACCACCCUCAAUUUCAUCUUUAUUCCGAUUGUCAUGGGAAUGAUAUUUACUCUGUUUACUAUCAAUGUGAGCACGGACAUGCGGCAUCAUCGAGUGAGACUGGUGUUCCAAGAUUCCCCUGUCCAUGGUGGUCGGAAACUGCGCAGUGAACAGGGUGUGCAAGUCAUCCUGGACCCAGUGCACAGCGUUCGGCUCUUUGACUGGUGGCAUCCUCAGUACCCAUUCUCCCUGAGAGCGUAGUUACUGCUUCCCAUCCCUUGGGGGCAGCCUCGAGUGUAGUCCAUUAGUAAUCAGAUUCCAGUUUGGACAGGGUGGCUGGAUUGUAUAUCUCGUUAGUAAUGUACAUGCUCUUCAGGUUCUAGGGCUCCUGUUAGGGGAGGGAGAAAUGUUGAAUCAAGAGGGAAAACAACUACUAUGAUUUAUAAACAUAUUUUAAUGUAAAAAUUUGCAUUUAAAAGGAGUGGCCCUGUUUUCUGUGUUAAAACCCCAUUUGGUGCUAUUGAGUUUGUUCUUUAUUCUUUUAUCCCAGUGAAAAUUGUUGAUCUUGCUGUAGGGAAAAAUUAAACUCUUUGAAUCUCCAAACAAGGAAGUUUCAGCAUUCCCUUAUGGAUCAGAGGAACCUUAGAGGCCUGAAAUUGUUGCUUCCAGUUUAGCUGCCCCUCAAAUUCAAGUGAAUAUUUUCCCUUCUCCCUUUACCCUUCUCCAGAAAUAAAGCAGGUGACAGGGUUUUCAGAAUCUUACCAUAUUGACUUGUGUAUCUUUUUUAAAAAAUAAUUUGUGAUAUUUAUUGCAUACAUUUUCUUUUGGCAGUUUUGGAUUUUAGGUAUUUUUUUGCAUGAGGCUGAUAAUGGUGAUGAUGACUUUAUACCCUUGGUACUAUACUAGGAACUUUACAUAGUAUCUCUACUUCUCACAGUCUUGCAAAGUAGGUGAUAUUAUUCCCAUUUUAUAGUUGAGAAAACGGAAUUAGUGACUGUACCUAUAACACCAGUAAAUGCAGAGCCAAGAUUCUGACCCAGGUCUUUUUGUUGUACCAUAAGUUUAAAAGAUGAGUCUCAUUUUUCUUGUGGUAGAUGGUGGUAAAAAGGAGUAGGCAGAGUGUACAUAGAUAAAAAAAAGUAAAAGGGUAAGUAAAAAAUUGAUUGUGGUAUAUGUUAUUCUAAUCAGCCAAAAAAGUUUAGAAGAUUGAUGAAAUGAUCUUUUAAAUAUGUAUUUCUGAAUAAAAUGUAAAACCAAGAAAGUUAUUUCAGGAAGGAUAGUGACCCUUUCCUUGAACUGUUAGAAGGGCAUUUAUUAGGCUAAAACGUCAUUAACAAAAUGCAUUGCAUGUUGAAACCAGCCUCUUGAACCAUAAGCACUUAGCGACUUUGCUCUGCCCUGUACUGUGCUGCUUCUGCUGUCAUCCUGUGUGCCUACAGAAGCCUGGUCUUCCGUCCAUGCAGAAAUGCUUAUGUCCUCCUGUUGUUUAGAUGACUCCUAUUGUUCAGGUGUACUCUGAGAAGAGAAUCACGUUUUUCUGUUUUGCUAAGGAGAAAACCUUGCUGCUUGUCUCUCCUCCCACCCUCCACCAUCCAAAAUUAACCAGUGAGCUGGAUAUUACCUGGAUAUUGCCAGGAGGUGGGCAUUAAGACAGUAUUCUUUAAAAGUGAAAAUCUUGUGAGGCAAACUGCUAAAUUCACAUUUUUGUUUUUUUUUUUUUACCAUCUUCCCUAGGAAUAUUCCUAGAAAGCAUCUGCUUAAUUUUGCUGCUAACAGCUAACCUUAUCCCACGUUGAGGGUGGUAUUAAAACUGUUCACACAGAGUGAGCCUGGGUCAGUCAAAAACAGAAUUUGGGCAUUUGAGUGAUAACAGACAACCUAAGGACAAUGAGCACUUUGCAGAUCUCUACAAUUAAAAGUUGCCUCUUUGAGGCAGGAGGGGAGAAGCACAGUCCCUGCCAGGUUGCCUGAACUAAAGAUGCCAUGGAGCAGGAGUGUCUUGGUGCAUUGUUCCCCGCUUAGGAGUACCUUUAAAAAGGGGGUGAAAUAAAUUUGGCUUAAUAAUUGUA